rnacentral:lncRNA from 1 species
ACACUGAAGGACCAAAAGGCAUGGAAUAUGAUAUUCUGGAAAGCAAGGGAACAAGGUCUAUAACCAAGAAUCAACUACCCAGCAAAACUGACUAUAUUCUUACAGGGGAAAGAAGGGUCAUUCAACAAAAUAGAAGAAUUCCAAGAAUUUGUAAAGAAAAGACCAGACCUGAACAGAUAAUUUGAUGUCCAAGCACAGAACUCAAGAGAAUCAUCAAAAGAUAAUUUAAAAAGAGAGAAAAAAGAAAAGCAAAACAAAACAACAACAAAAAAACACCUUUUUUUUAAAAGACACUGAAUAAGGGACAAUGAUAUGUAUCCCUAUAAGAAAAGAGGUCAUUGAUAACUCUUAUCACCUGGGCAGCUAGAAGAAUUACACUUAGAGGGAACAGUGACAAACUGUAUAGGAUGAAAAGAUGAAGAAAUUGACUUGCCUAGGAUACCAGGAUAACAGAAGAGGUAUGGAUCAGGACUCGGAAGUCUUUCAACCUUUAAGUCCCACUGUUUUCUCUCCUAUCUACUGACCCAGAUCCCAAACUGCAAAAUCAAGAGUAGCUAACAAAAGCUCAACGUGUUGGAAUGGACAUGAAUUGUCCUGACCUCAGUAUCACUGACAUCAAUGAGGUGCUCACCCAGUUGCUUAGAUGCUCCUGCUUUUUAGGACUUGUCCUUUCUGAACUCCCCUUCAGAGCAGUGAAAUAUGCUUAUCCUGUUCUCAUCUUUUUCCCUUCUCCCAUUCCCCAAGUCUACAACUUACCCUAGUAGGCUGUAAGCUUUAGAAGGCAGAGACUUCAUGUUUUCCAUAUAUGCCUUAAACAUAAUGGAUUGGAUUUUCAAUAAAUGUUUAUUGAACAUGUUAUUGAUUCA